AAAAUACUCCCUCCGUCCCAAAAUUCUUGUCUUAGAUUUGUCUAAAUAUGAAUGUAUCUAGUCACGUUUUAGUAUUUAGAUACAUUCAUUUUUAGACAAAUCUAAGACAAGAAUUUUGGGACGAAGGGAGUAAGAG
rnacentral:pre_miRNA from 1 species